rnacentral:rRNA from 1 species
ACUCCUACGGGAGGCAGCAGUGAGGAAUAUUGGACAAUGGUCGGAAGACUGAUCCAGCCAUGCCGCGUGCAGGAUGAAGGUCUUAUGGAUUGUAAACUGCUUUUGCAGGGGAAGAAUAAGGACUACGCGUAGUUUGAUGACGGUACUCUGUGAAUAAGCAUCGGCUAACUCCGUGCCAGCAGCCGCGGUAAUACGGAGGAUGCGAGCGUUAUCCGGAAUCAUUGGGUUUAAAGGGUCUGUAGGCGGGCUGGUAAGUCAGAGGUGAAAGCGCUUAGCUCAACUAAGCAACUGCCUUUGAAACUGCUGGUCUUGAAUGGUUGUGAAGUAGUUGGAAUGUGUAGUGUAGCGGUGAAAUGCUUAGAUAUUACACAGAACACCGAUAGCGAAGGCAUAUUACUAACAAUUAAUUGACGCUGAUGGACGAAAGCGUGGGGAGCGAACAGGAUUAGAAACCCCGGUAGUCCAGAAGUG